CGCGGCCGGGGGAGUUGGGGGCGGUGCGCGCGGCCGGAGGAGGGGGAGCGGUGAGCGCGGCCGCGGGAGGGGGCGGGGCCGGAGCGCCCACCCUCGGCCGCAGCCCCACCCCCGCCACCGGACUCGCCCCCGCGCGCGCAGCCCCCAGGUUGGCCCUGCGAAGCGCGCGCUAGGGUCCGCCAGAGUCCCUGGCGCGGCCCCUAGGGACCGACCUGAGCGCUGCAAGGGGUCCUCAGCCCGCUGCGCUCACCCUAAAGUGAGGCGUCCGUUGGCCCCUCUAGGUAUGGUCGCCUUCCCCCUCUGUCGCCGCUUGCAGCUUUGCGCCUCACCUGGCUCUUGGCGCCGUUGAAUGUGCCAAAUCCCUUUCUUACUCAUUGGGUUUAGGGUCUCUCUCCCCCACUAGAAACCCUCCGGGACAGAGUUUACGGUCGGUUUUAUUCCUGGCCGGGCCCUCAGGACUGGCACGCAGUAGGCGCUCCGUAAUCUGGUUAACACUGUGGGAUGAGUGAAUUUGACUAUCACCCACCCGUCUAUCAGUUGUCCAGCUUACCUCCUGCUACAGCUUGGUUGAACCUGGACACCAUUACGCUGAGUGAAGGAAGUCAGACACCAGAAGGACACACAGGGUAUGAUUUUAGUUACAUGAAGUGUCCCGAACAGGGGAACCCAGGGAGACAAAGUAGGUUGGUGGUUGCCUGGGUCUGGCGGGGCUGGGAGGAAACGGGGGCGGCCGUACAAGGGAUUUCUCCUUGGGGGUGAUAAAAAUGUUCUGGAAUUGGGUAAUAGUGAUGAUUGCACAACUCUGAAUAUACCAAAAGCCAUUGAAUUGUACCAUUUAAAAAGGCAAAUUUAUGGUAUGCGAAUUACCUCUCAGUAAAGCUGUUACAAAAAGCAAAUCAAACAAAAGGCUCUCUCUCCUUGUUUUUCUACUCCCUGUCUUCUCUGGGAAGGAUUCAGCGCGUCUUUCAGGGCCCCCCGUAAAGCAGGGGCUGGUUGCAGCCCUGAAGAUGGGCCAGAAAAGAAUAGAAAAUAGGGAUGGGGAGUCAGCAUGGCCGGGGAAAUUCUCGAGGCUGGUCUUUGCCCUUUCCGUGCUAGACACAACACUCAUGGGCCUUUUUCAAAGAUGACUUGGGACCAUUGGGAUUUGUAUUAAAUAUCUUUGACUGGUGGAGAAACAAAAGUAUAGAAAGUGUCUUUUUAAUUUAAAGGGACUUAGGGUAGGGGGCGCCUGGGUGGCUCAGUCGGUUGAGCCUCUGACUUCGGCUCAGGUCAUAAUCUGAGGGUUUGUGAGUUCGAGCCCCGCGUCGGGCUCUGGGCUGACAGCUCGGAGCCUGGAGCCCGCUUCGGAUUCUGGGUCUCCCUCUCUCUCUCUGCCCCUCCCCUGCUCUCGCACUUUCUCUCUCUCUCUCAAAAUUAAAUGAACGUUAAAAAAAUAAAAUAAAAUAAAGGGACUUAGGGUAAAACUGACGUUGGAACCACCUUCAGGCCUUCAGUCAGGGACCAUCUUUACUCGGAAGCCUUCCUUGCUCAUCUUUGACCCUCCCUCGAUCUAUGUCUACCCCCCCCCCCCGAAAAAAGCUAAUCCCACAUCUUCUUCUAUGUCUGUAUCUUGCCAUGUGAAUGUCUGCUAUUCCUUGAACUCACGCCCACCUUCAUUCAUUAGUUCAUUCAACAGACUUGGAGGGAGUUUCUUUUUCUUUUUUUUUUUAACGUUUAUUUAUUUUGGAGACAGAGAGAGACAGAGCAUGAACAGGGGAGGGGCCGAGAGAGAGGGAGACACAGAAUCGGAAGCAGGCUCCAGGUUCUGAGCCGUCAGCCCAGAGCCCGACGCGGGGCUCGAACUCACGGACCGCGAGAUCGUGACCUAAGCUGAAGUCGGACGCCCAACCGACGGAGCCACCCAGGCGCCCCGGGAGUUUCUACAAUGCUCCAGGCACUGUGAUGUUGGAUCCUUUCUGAAGGAGAACUCGGACCACAACCGGAUGAGGAGGCCUAGAAUAAGGGCCUGGGACAAGCUCAAGAAUCCACUGGUGACCUUGACCGGAAAAGCAUGCAGACUUCAUGCUGUUUUCCUGUGGAACCUGACUUCAGCCUGUUUUCCCCAACACUUUCACUUUUAUUUCCCCUUUAAUUACUAUUUUCUUUCCAAUUGUAAAAGGAGUGCAUGCUUCAAGGGAAAUACAGAGAAGUCCAAAAGGAAAAGCAAACCACUCCCUUCUGCACCAUCCAGAA